GGUGAUCGUGCUUAGUGUGCAGUUGCCGUCGUGAGUGGCCUUGCCUUCACUGUGUCGUCUAGGUCGCUCUGAUACGUAACGGGAUGGGGUUAUAUGCUAUAACAUGCUUCAUUCUCUUACGUGGAUAAUAUGUUAUUUUUAUUAUGUUAUGGAAUUUGAACUAUUUUGAUGGGGCCUACGUGCCAAAUUGAUUAUGAUUUUUGAAUUAAUAUUCCGCUGCUAUGUUAAAGAUAUUUGUGAAGGUUAAAUUAUUAUUUAACUGUUUUUGGAUUACGUUUCUAUGUGAUAUCCCGUUUAUGGCUUUUACUCUGAUAAAUGUUUAAGAAAUUUGUAUAUUGGGAAAACGGGGUGUUACAAUUGGUAUCAGAGCAGGUCGAUCCGUCCGGUCAAUUAGAGAGUCGUGUCGAGUCUUAGUAAUAUUUAUAUUACUAUCUUAUGUUGUUGUUGCUACUUUUGUAGAAUCUCGGAAAUGGCUGGAAGAAACGAUGCUGCGUUAGCUGCUGCUCUACAAGCUGUUGCCCAAGCUGUGGGACAACAACCUAACGUGAAUGCUGGUGCGAAUGCUGAAGCUAGGAUGUUGGAGACGUUCAUGAAGAAGAACCCUCCGACUUUCAAAGGACGUUAUGACCCUGAUGGAGCCCAGACGUGGCUUAAGGAGAUUGAGAGGAUUUUCCGGGUUAUGCAGUGCACGGAGGAUCAGAAAGUGCGAUUUGGUACUCAUCAGCUGGCCGAGGAAGCUGAUGACUGGUGGGUUGCUCUUCUGCCUACCCUUGGGCAGGAGGGAGCUGUUGUGACUUGGGCUGUUUUCAGGAGAGAGUUCCUGAGAAGAUACUUUCCGGAAGAUGUUCGCGGGAAGAAAGAGAUCGAAUUCCUUGAGCUGAAGCAAGGAAAUAUGUCCGUGACAGAGUAUGCUGCCAAGUUCGUGGAGCUGUCUAAGUUCUAUCCGCACUAUACUGCUGAGAAUGCUGAGUUCUCGAGAUGCAUCAAGUUCGAGAACGGUUUGAGGCCCGACAUUAAGAGGGCGAUUGGGUACCAACAGCUGAGAGUUUUUCAGGACUUGGUUAAUAGCUGCAGGAUCUACGAAGAGGAUACGAAGGCUCACUACAAGGUAGUGAAUGAAAGGAAGGGCAAGGGACAGCAGAGUCGUCCUAAGCCGUACAGUGCCCCUGCUGAUAAAGGGAAACAGAAGAUGGUCGAUGUUAGGCGGCCUAAGAAGAAGGAUGCUGCAGAGAUUGUGUGUUUCAAUUGUGGUGAGAAAGGCCACAAAAGCAACGUCUGCCCUGAGGAAAUCAAGAAGUGUGUCCGGUGUGGCAAGAAAGGUCAUGUUGUAGCUGAUUGCAAUCGUACAGACAUUGUUUGCUUUAAUUGCAACGGAGAGGGUCACAUUAGUUCACAGUGUACUCAGCCUAAGAGGGCGCCGACUACUGGUAGGGUCUUUGCUUUGACUGGGACUCAGACAGAGAAUGAGGAUCGUUUGAUCAGAGGUACUUGCUAUAUUAAUAAUACUCCUUUAGUUGCUAUUAUUGAUACUGGUGCUACGCAUUGCUUUAUUGCUUUCGAUUGUGUUUCUGCUUUGGGUCUUGAGUUGUCUGAUAUGAAUGGAGAGAUGGUUGUCGAAACUCCAGCUAAGGGUUCGGUGACUACUUCUCUAGUAUGUUUGAAAUGUCCUUUGUCUAUGUUUGGUCGUGAUUUUGAAAUGGAUUUAGUUUGUCUACCUUUGAGUGGUAUGGAUGUGAUUUUGGGUAUGAACUGGUUAGAGUACAACCACGUUCUUAUUAAUUGUUUUAGCAAGUCAGUACAUUUCUCUUCCGUCGAAGAGGAAAGUGGUGCAGAGUUUUUAUCUACUAAGCAGCUGAAGCAACUGGAACGCGACGGUAUCUUGAUGUUUUCGUUAAUGGCUACUUUAUCUAUUGAGAAUCAAGCAGUGAUUGAUAGGUUACCGGUGGUGUGUGAAUUUCCUGAAGUUUUUCCAGAUGAGAUUCCUGAUGUGCCUCCAGAGAGAGAAGUUGAGUUUUCUAUUGAUCUUGUUCCUGGAACGAAGCCGGUCUCGAUGGCACCUUAUCGUAUGUCUGCUUCUGAGUUAUCUGAGUUGAAGAAACAGUUGGAAGACUUGCUUGAGAAGAAGUUUGUUAGACCGAGUGUUUCACCUUGGGGAGCGCCGGUUUUGUUAGUAAAGAAGAAAGAUGGUAGUAUGCGGUUGUGUAUUGAUUAUCGACAGUUGAACAAGGUAACUAUCAAGAAUAGGUAUCCACUUCCGAGAAUUGAUGAUUUGAUGGAUCAGCUAGUGGGUGCACGAGUUUUCAGCAAGAUUGAUUUGAGAUCAGGUUAUCACCAGAUUAAAGUAAAGGAUGAAGAUAUGCAGAAGACAGCUUUCAGAACGCGUUAUGGUCACUAUGAAUAUAAAGUUAUGCCUUUUGGAGUUACCAAUGCACCUGGAGUGUUUAUGGAGUAUAUGAAUCGCAUCUUCCAUGCAUUUCUGGAUCGGUUUGUGGUUGUGUUUAUCGACGAUAUUUUGAUUUACUCCAAGACUGAAGAAGAACAUGCCGAGCAUCUGAAGAUUGUUUUGCAAGUGUUGAAAGAGAAGAAACUUUAUGCCAAAUUGUCUAAGUGUGAAUUUUGGUUGAAAGAAGUGAGUUUUCUAGGCCAUGUUAUUUCUGGUGAUGGAAUUGCAGUGGAUCCGUCUAAAGUCGAAGCUGUAUCGCAAUGGGAUACUCCUAAGUCAGUUACUGAGAUUAGAAGUUUCUUGGGUUUAGCUGGUUACUAUAGAAGGUUUAUUGAAGGGUUUUCUAAGUUAGCUCUUCCGCUAACGCAGUUGACUUGUAAAGGUAAAACUUUUGUGUGGGACGUCCAUUGUGAGAAAAGUUUCGGUGAAUUGAAGAAGCGUUUGACGACCGCUCCAGUGUUAAUUUUGCCGAAAUCAGAUGAACCUUUUGUGGUCUAUUGUGAUGCGUCCAAGUUGGGUUUAGGAGGUGUACUUAUGCAGGAAGGUAAAGUGGUAGCUUAUGCUUCAAGACAGUUGAGGGUUCAUGAGAAGAAUUAUCCUACGCAUGAUCUCGAGUUGGCGGCCGUAGUCUUUGUAUUGAAGAUAUGGAGACAUUACUUGUAUGGUUCGAGAUUUGAAGUGUUUAGUGAUCACAAGAGUUUGAAGUAUUUGUUCGAUCAGAAGGAAUUGAAUAUGAGGCAGCGAAGAUGGCUCGAAUUGUUGAAGGAUUAUGACUUUGGUUUGAAUUAUCAUCCAGGUAAAGCUAAUGUUGUUGCAGAUGCCUUGAGUAGGAAGACAUUGCAUAUGUCCGCCAUGAUGGUCAGAGAGUUCGAAUUGCUUGAACAGUUUAGAGAUAUGAGUUUGGUUUGCGAAUGGUCACCUCAGAGUGUGAAACUGGGUAUGCUGAAGAUUGAUAGUGAAUUUCUGAAAAGUAUCAAGGAAGCACAGAAAGUUGAUGUAAAGUUUGUGGACUUGUUGGUUGCUAGAGAUCAGACUGAAGACAGUGAUUUUAAAAUCGAUGAUCAAGGUGUGUUGAGAUUCCGAGGAAGAAUUUGUAUCCCAGACAAUGAAGAGAUUAAGAAGAUGAUUCUUGAGGAGAGUCAUAGAAGUAGCUUGAGUAUUCAUCCGGGAGCUACGAAGAUGUAUCAUGAUCUAAAGAAGAUUUUCUGGUGGUCUGGUUUGAAACGAGAUGUGGCACAGUUUGUGUAUUCCUGUUUAGUUUGUCAGAAGUCGAAAGUUGAGCAUCAGAAACCUGCUGGGAUGAUGGUACCUUUAGAUGUGCCAGAAUGGAAAUGGGAUAGUAUAUCGAUGGAUUUUGUGACGAGUUUGCCGAAUACUCCGAGAGGGAGCGACGCAAUUUGGGUUAUUGUUGAUAGGUUGACGAAGUCAGCUCAUUUUCUACCUAUUAAUAUUAGUUUCCCUGUUGCCCAGUUGGCAGAGAUUUACAUCAAAGAGAUUGUGAAGCUGCAUGGUGUUCCUUCGAGAAUUGUAUCAGAUAGAGAUCCAAGAUUUACUUCUAGAUUUUGGAAAAGUUUGCAAGAGGCUUUGGGUUCGAAGUUGAGAUUGAGUUCGGCGUAUCAUCCACAGACAGAUGGUCAGUCGGAGAGGACAAUUCAGUCGCUAGAGGAUUUGUUGAGAAUUUGUGUUCUUGAGCAAGGAGGAACUUGGGAUAGUCAUCUUCCGUUGAUCGAGUUCACUUAUAAUAAUAGUUAUCAUUCUAGUAUUGGAAUGGCACCGUUCGAGGCUUUGUAUGGUCGGAGAUGCAGAACUCCGUUGUGUUGGUUUGAAUCAGGAGAAAGAGUGGUCUUAGGACCAGAGAUUGUUCAGCAAACUACUGAGAAAGUUCAGAUGAUCCAAGAGAAAAUGAAGGCGUCGCAGAGUCGACAAAAGAGUUAUCAUGAUAAGCGUAGAAAAGAUCUUGAAUUUCAGGAAGGAGACCACGUGUUUUUGAGAGUCACUCCUAUGACUGGCGUAGGACGUGCUUUGAAGUCAAAGAAGUUGACCCCGAAGUUCAUUGGUCCGUAUCAGAUAUUGGAAAGAGUUGGAACGGUGGCUUACCGAGUGGGUUUACCGCCGCAUCUUGCGAAUUUGCACAACGUUUUCCAUGUGUCGCAACUUCGAAAGUAUGUUCCGGAUCCAUCUCAUGUAAUCCAAAGCGACGAUGUGCAAGUUAGAGACAACCUUACGGUAGAAACUUUACCGUUAAGGAUUGAUGAUCGUAAAGUGAAGACGUUGAGGGGCAAAGAGAUACCUCUCGUGAGAGUCGUUUGGUCGGGAGCGACUGGUGAAAGCUUGACGUGGGAGCUUGAGAGUAAGAUGCUGGAGUCUAAUCCAGAGUUGUUUGCUUGAGGUAAAUUUUCGAGUACGAAAAUCUUUUAAGUGGGGGAGAGUUGUAACGCCCACUUUCGUUUAAUCGUUGAUUUAAUUGAGUUUAGGCAAUUAUAUUAUAAUUAUAUAGUAUAUGCAUGAUUUUGGUAUGUUUUGAUGACUUGAUUGAUGACGUGAUAAGUUAUGAGUUUUGGAGGAUUUGAUUAUGAUAUGAGAUUUAUUUUAUUGUUAAAUAGAAUAAAGAUUUGAAAAUAAUAUAAAAUAUUUAGUUGAGGGCUGUUUUGAUAUUUUAGAUAGUUUUGGGGGAGAAAUUGAGAUAAGAUAAGUAAUUAGGAAGAGAUAUAAAUAGAGAAGACCUAAUUGUUAGAAAAACUGAUUGUACGUGAAAACUUUUGGAAAAGGGAGAAAAGCUUAGAGAGGAGCAAGAGACCAAGAGGGCUGCGAUUUUCUUCAUAACCAGGUAAGGGUGGGACUAAUAACUCAGUAGCAUUAACCUCUGUAAUUCUGAUGAUUAGUUGACAAAGUUAGGAUUGAUUUAGAGAAGUUUUGGAAUUAGGUCAAAACCCUAAAAAUUGAGAAUAAACGGUAAAACUUGUUUAGAUUGAUGUAAGAAUUGUCCUGUAACCUUAGAAUAUGUUUAGGAUGAAUUCUGGAAUCAAAACCAAGCUUAGAACCAUGUGAAACGUCGGAUUUUUGUGAUUUUAGGAAACCUGGCCGUAGCGACAUUCAUCGCUCGCCACGGCGAGCUAUGAUCCUCGCCUCACGAGUGAUGAAGAUUCAUCGCUCGCCACGCGAGCCUUUCCCCUUCGCCUCGCGAGUUGUCUGGUGCAACUCGCCAUGGCGAGCAACCUUUCCUCGCCUCGCGAGCUUAGGCAGAGAGCAUGUCAUAUUUCGUGUUUCGACCUUUUUAGUUGAACCUUGUAUGCCUUUGAGUACCUGAACAUACCUAGUAUUGAUUAGGAAUGAUUUUAGGACAGGAUUGAACCCAGAACAACAUCAGUUUGGGAGAUUAGUGUUACUCGCCAUGGCGAGUAAGGACUCUCGCCUCGCGAGUACAACCAGAAUGUAGUUGCUUGAGUGUUUGUGCGAUCUGUGUCGCAUGUGUUGAUCAGGAGUGAACCCCUAAUUGGUAUUGAGACCUAGUGAUGACGUUUAAUGCAGCCUGUAGAGUUGUUUUAAAUUAUAUUGAUAUUAAUUGAGCAUGAACUAAUGUAUUGUAUAUUCAUGCAAGAUAUGAAGGUUUGAUAAUAAUGCAAUUUAUGUGCUAUUGAUAUAAUGAUAUCAUCUUGAUAUGUGACUUGUUUAUGCUGCUUCCGUUAUUUAACUAAGUGCAUAUGUAUAUGAUAAGGUUUAGCUCCAAAUUAUUGGAUGCAUGUUGAUUACGAUGAUUACGUGUUUUGUUCAUAAGUGUCCAUGCAUAGCAUAUCAUUGAGCUUAGUCCUCACCACGAAUAUGAGGAGCUUUGUCCUCUGCACGUUUUAUAGGAGCUUUGUCCUCCGCACGAUUAAAGUAUAUUAAUACUUAUGAUGACGAUUGGUACCACAUGCAUAUAAGGAGUCUAAGAGCAUUGUCACAUUGUCAUGAUUAAGAUGCCUUGUUGAUAAUGAUUGAAUAUGUGAUUACGUGAUAAGUGUUAUUUGAUAUGUUAUGUUAUUCCUAAUUAUUGGAUAUACGAUUACGUGAUAACUGUUUAGCAAUUAUGCAAAGUUAAUAAUGGAAUGAUUAUGAUGUUAAUUUAUGAUUCUCAAUUACAUUGAUUAAUGUUAUUGUAUUAUGAAAUCUCACCCCUUCUGCUUGAAAAUGUUGCCCUUCGUAUGGGUAACUUGCAGGUGAUCGUGCUUAGUGUGCAGUUGCCGUCGUGAGUGGCCUUGCCUUCACUGUGUCGUCUAGGUCGCUCUGAUACGUAAUGGGAUGGGGUUAUAUGCUAUAACAUGCUUCAUUCUCUUACGUGGAUAAUAUGUUAUUUUUAUUAUGUUAUGGAAUUUGAACUAUUUUGAUGGGGCCUACGUGCCAAAUUGAUUAUGAUUUUUGAACUAAUAUUCCGCUGCUAUGUUAAAGAUAUUUGUGAAGGUUAAAUUAUUAUUUAACUGUUUUUGGAUUACGUUUCUAUGUGAUAUCCCGUUUAUGGCUUUUACUCUGAUAAAUGUUUAAGAAAUUUGUAUAUUGGGAAAACGGGGUGUUACAACAGGACUCUCAAGGGCCGUGGGUAUAUUCUUUGCUGCAUAUCUCUUUUGUAUAGGUGGUUUAUUUCGCACCUUCCGAGUUCCUUCCAUGACAACUCGGAGAACUGGUCCUACUCGCAGCGGAUUAUGGCCCUCACUCCUAAUGAGGUCGUCUGGCUCACUCCUGCCGCUCAGGUGAAGGAAAUCAUUAUGGGUUGUGGGGACUUUCUUAAUGUACCUCUUCUUGCUACUCGUGGAGGAAUUAACUACAACCCCGAGCUUGCUAUGAGACAGUUUGGUUUUCCUAUGAAGUCGAAGCCCAUCAAUCUUGCUACAUCUCCAGAGUUCUUCUUCUACACGAAUGCUCCUACCGGACAAAGGAAAGCUUUCAUGGAUGCUUGGUCUAAGGUUCGAAGGAAGAGUGUGAAGCAUCUAGGUGUGAGAUCCGGUGUCGCUCAUGAGGCCUAUACUCAGUGGGUGAUAGAUCGAGCUGAGGAGAUUGGUAUGCCUUAUCCAGCUAUGAGAUACGUGUCUUCAUCUGCUCCAUCUAUGCCUCUACCUCUACUCCCCACGACUCAGGAUAUGUAUCAGGAACAUCUAGCUAUGGAGAGUCGUGAGUAGCAAGUGUGGAAAGCUCGGUACAAUCAAGCUGAGAAUCUAAUCAUGACUUUGGAUGGCAGAGAUGAGCAGAAGACUCAUGAGAACCUGAUGUUGAAGAAGGAACUAGCUAAGGUCCGGAAGGAAUUGGAAGAGAAAGACGAACUGCUUAUGAGGGAUUCCAAGAGGUAUGGUAAUGGACAUCACAAGAAGAAAGAUACGGAAGUGGGGAUGGUGUCAGCUGGAGCCGGUCAAUCCAUGGCCACUGUUGCUCCUAUCAAUGCAGCCCAAAUGCCUCCGUCAUACCCAUAUGUGCCGUAUUCUCAGCAUCCUUUCUUUCCGCCAUUUUAUCAUCAGUACCCUUUGCCACCGGGCCAACCUCAGGUUCCUGUCAAUGCCAUCGCUCAACAGGUACAACAUCAACCGCCAGUUCAACAGCAGCAGCAGCAAUAUACUAGACCAACUUUUCCUCCUAUACCAAUGUUGUAUGCAGAGCUUCUUCCAACUUUACUCCAGAGAGGACACUGCACGACUAGGCAGGGCAAGCCUCCACCGGGCCCUUUACCUCCAAGGUUCCGCUCUGAUCUUAAGUGUGACUUCCAUCAAGGCGCUUUAGGGCAUGAUGUUGAGGGGUGCUAUGCUCUAAAGUACAUCGUCAAGAAGCUUAUAGAUCAAGGGAAGUUAACUUUUGAGAACAAUAUGCCACAUGUCCUCGAUAAUCCGCUCCCAAAUCAUGCUGCCGUGAAUAUGAUUGAGAUAUGUGAAGAGGUUCCCGUGCUGGAUGUCCGCAAUGUUGCAACUCCUCUGGUACCACUCCAUAUCAAGUUGUGCCAAGCUUUAUUGUUUGAACAUGAUCAUGUUGAAUGCCAAGAAUGUUCCCGCAAUCCUUUGGGUUGCCAUGUCGUCCAAAACGAUGUCCAGAGCUUGAUGGACAGCAAUCACCUUACUGUCAGUGAUGUUUGCGUAAUUGUGCCGGUCUUUCACGAUAUACCUGAUAAGAGGGUGCCUUUGAGGGAGAGCGUUGAGCCGUUGGUGAUAAGGUUGCCAGGACCAAUUCCUUAUGUUUCGGACAAGGCUGUUCCAUACAAAUACAAUGCUACUAUGAUAGAAAAUGGAGUAGAGGUGCCUCUAGCCUCCUUUGCCACAGUAAGCAAUAUUGCCGAAGGGACUUCUGCAGCGCUAAGAAGCGGGAAGGUCCGUCCGCCGUUAUUUCAGAAGAAGGUAGCUACGCCAACCACUCCACCAGUUGAAGAAGCAACUCCAACCGUUGUUUCACCCAUUGCUACAGAUAUGAACCAGCCAGGCAAAUCUAUAGAGGAUUCGAAUUUAGAUGAGAUUCUGAGGAUAAUAAAAAGGAGCGACUACAAGAUCGUUGAUCAAUUGCUGCAAACUCCUUCAAAGAUAUCUGUCUUGUCGUUACUCUUGAGCUCUGAGGCUCACAGGAAUACCUUGUUGAAAGUGCUGGAGCAGGCUUAUGUUGAUCACGAAGUCACGGUAGAUCGUUUCGGUGGCAUAGUGGGAAAUAUUACUGCUUGUAACAACCUCUGGUUUAGUGAAGAAGAGUUGCCGAAAGUGGGAAAGAGUCACAAUCUGGCUUUGCACAUCUCGGUGAAUUGCAAAUCAGACAUGAUAUCAAAUGUGUUGGUGGAUACGGGUUCCUCCCUCAAUGUAAUGCCCAAGUCAACUCUAGAUCAGUUGAGCUACCGGGGGAUCCCCCUGAGGAGGAGUACUUUCUUGGUCAAAGCUUUUGACGGAUCUCGAAAGAAUGUGCUGGGGGAGAUAGACUUGCCGAUAACCAUUGGCCCUGAGAAUUUCUUGAUUACCUUCCAAGUGAUGGACAUUAAUGCAUCCUACAGUUGUCUGCUGGGAAGACCGUGGAUACACGAUGCGGGUGCGGUAACCUCCACCUUACAUCAGAAGUUGAAGUUCAUAAGAAGUGGAAAGCUUGUUACCAUUCAUGGAGAGGAAGCAUACUUGGUUAGCCAGCUAUCAUCUUUCUCUUGCAUAGAAGCAGGGUCUGCAGAGGGGACCGCUUUUCAAGGUUUAACUCUCGAAGGUACGGAGCCCAAGAGGGAUGGAACUGCAAUGGCUUCUUUGAAGGAUGCACAGAGAGCCGUCCAAGAGGGUCAAGCUGCCGGCCGGGGCAAGUUAAUACAGCUUCGUGAGAAUAAGCAUAAGGAAGGUCUUGGCUUUUCCUCAACUUCAGGAGUUUCCACCGGGGCAUUCUGUAGUGCUGGGUUUGUCAACGCAAUCACAGAAGAAGCGACUGGAUUUGGCCCGAGGCCUGUAUUUGUUACACCAGGGGGCUUUGCGAGUGAUUGAGAUGCCAUUGACAUUCCCUCAAUCAUGCAUGUUUCUGAGUAAUAUACCUUGUUGCUUGAGUAUCUUGUUUUUCAAAAUAACAAUCCUCUCGCUCUGCCCAAAGCGAGAGUGAUAUUUUCUGUAAGGGCAUGUUUGUUUCGGCAUUGCCGUUGAUUAAUAAAAAAUUGUCGUUUCCUUCACGACUGUUUUUUUUAGUGUCUUUUUUCCCUUGGAAAUAAUGGUAAUGCCAGAAAAAACCAAAACAUCUGUAUUUUCUUAUUAAUUUCAAAAAUCUGCAUAAAAACCCUCUUUCUAAAAUCAUCCAACCAUUUUACGCAGAUUGAACUAUAAUGAACCCGUUGGGCACAGUAAUCCUGCAUUCUCUCCGAAUUUUGAGUUUCCAGUGUAUGAAGCCGAAGAUGAGGAAGGUGAUGACAUACCAUAUGAGAUCACUCGGUUACUGGAGCAAGAAAAGAAAGCCAUUCAGCCUCACCAGGAAGAGAUUGAGCUUAUCAACAUAGGUACCGAGGAGAACAAGCGAGAAAUCAAGAUCGGUGCUGCUCUAGAGGAAGGGGUUAAAAAGAGGAUCAUCCAACUCCUCCGGGAAUAUCCGGAUAUUUUUGCAUGGUCGUAUGAAGAUAUGCCAGGUCUAGAUUCUAAGAUUGUGGAGCAUCGGAUCCCCACCAAGCCUGAAUGUCCUCCCGUCAGGCAGAAAUUGAGAAGGACUCAUCCAGAUAUGGCUCUCAAGAUUAAGAGCGAGGUUCAAAAACAGAUUGAUGCGGGUUUCCUCAUGACAGUUGAGUACCCUGAAUGGGUUGCCAAUAUUGUACCUGUGCCAAAGAAGGAUGGUAAAGUCCGGAUGUGUGUUGACUUCAGAGACCUGAACAAAGCCAGUCCAAAAGACAACUUUCCGUUACCUCAUAUUGAUGUGCUUGUUGAUAAUACUGCUCAGUCUAAGGUGUUUUCCUUCAUGGAUGGUUUCUCCGGUUACAAUCAGAUCAAAAUGUCUCCUGAAGAUAGAGAAAAGACGUCUUUUAUCACUCCAUGGGGUACUUUCUGCUACAAAGUGAUGCCAUUCGGUCUAAUUAAUGCUGGUGCUACCUACCAAAGAGGGAUGACUACUCUGUUUCAUGACAUGAUUCACAAAGAAGUCGAAGUAUAUGUGGAUGAUAUGAUUGUAAAGUCAACAGAUGAGGAGCAACAUGUUGAAUAUUUGACAAAGAUGUUUGAAAGGUUGAGAAAAUACAAGCUUCGAUUGAAUGCCAACAAAUGUACAUUCGGCGUCAGAUCCGGGAAGUUAUUAGGCUUCAUUGUCAGCCAAAAGGGCAUUGAAGUCGAUCCUGAUAAAGUCCGGGCCAUCCGAGAAAUGCCAGCUCCACAGACUGAGAAGCAAGUCAGAGGUUUCCUCGGGCGUUUGAAUUACAUCUCCCGGUUCAUAUCUCACAUGACCGCAACCUGCGGGCCGAUCUUCAAGCUACUCAGAAAGAAUCAGCCUAUCGUAUGGAAUGAUGAAUGCCAAGAAGCUUUUGAUAGCAUCAAGAAUUACCUGCUAGAACCACCUAUCCUUGUCCCACCCGUGGAAGGAAGGCCUUUGAUUAUGUAUUUGGCAGUAUUUGAUGAAUCCAUGGGAUGCGUACUUGGUCAACAAGAUGAGACUGGAAAGAAAGAACAUGCUAUCUACUAUCUAAGCAAGAAGUUCACCGAUUGUGAAACUCGGUAUGCAAUGCUUGAGAAGACUUGUUGUGCUCUGGCCUGGGCCGCUAAACGCCUGCGUCAUUAUCUGGUGAAUCAUACAACUUGGUUGAAAUCCAGAAUGGAUCCGAUAAAGUAUAUCUUUGAGAAAGCUGCUGUUACUGGAAAGAUUGCACGCUAGCAGAUGCUGUUGUCUGAAUAUGAUAUUGUGUUCAAAACUCAAAAGGCAAUCAAAGGUAGCAUUCUUGCCGAUCACCUUGCUUACCAACCUCUUGAUGAUUAUCAACCAAUUGAAUUUGAUUUCCCCGAUGAAGAGAUCAUGUAUUUGAAAUCCAAAGACUGCGAAGAACCGUUGAUUGAGGAAGGUCCGGAUCCCAAUAGCAAGUGGGGUUUAGUCUUUGAUGGUGCUGUCAAUGCUUAUGGUAAAGGAAUCGGGGCAGUCAUUGUAUCCCCGCAGGGGCAUCACAUUCCUUUUACCGCCCGAAUUUUGUUCGAAUGUACCAACAAUAUGGCUGAGUAUGAAGCAUGUAUCUUUGGGAUCGAGGAAGCUAUUGACAUGAGAAUCAAACACCUCGACAUCUAUGGAGAUUCUGCGCUCGUCAUCAAUCAGAUAAAGGGUGAAUGGGAGACCCACCAUGCUAAGUUGAUUCCUUAUCGUGAUUAUGCGAGACGUUUGCUGACAUAUUUUACAAAGGUUGAGUUGCACCAUAUCCCUCGUGAUGAGAACCAAAUGGCUGAUGCUCUUGCUACUCUAUCCUCCAUGUUUCGAGUAAACCAUUGGAAUGAUGUGCCAAUAAUCAAAGUGCAACGCCUUGAAAGACCUUCGCAUGUGUUUGCUAUUGGGGAUGUGAUCGAUCAGGCUGGUGAAAAUGCGGUUGACUAUAAACCCUGGUACUACGACAUCAAACAGUUCUUGCUGAGCCGUGAGUAUCCGUCGGGUGCUUCCAAACAAGAUAAGAAGACCCUGAGAAGAUUGGCCAGUAGAUUCCUGUUAGAUGGAGAUAUUCUGUACAAGAGAAACUAUGACAUGGUGUUGUUAAGAUGUGUCGAUGAACAUGAAGCGGAGCAGUUAAUGCAUGAUGUACAUGAUGGUACCUUCGGGACCCAUGCUACAAGGCAUACUAUGUCAAGGAAGUUGUUGCGAGCAGGUUACUACUGGAUGGCCAUGGAGCAUGAUUGCUACCAGCACGCCAGAAAGUGCCACAAAUGUCAAAUCUAUGCUGAUAAGAUUCAUGUGCCUCCGCACGCUCUCAAUGUUAUUUCAUCCCCAUGGCCGUUCUCAAUGUGGGGCAUCGACAUGAUUGGAAGAAUUGAACCAAAGGCUUCAAAUGGUCAUCGCUUCAUCUUAGUGGCAAUUGACUACUUCACCAAGUGGGUUGAAGCAGCAUCUUAUACCAAUGUGACCAAGCAAGUGGUAGCUAAGUUCAUCAAGAACAACAUCAUCUGUCGAUAUGGUGUUCCCAGCAAGAUUAUUACCGACAAUGGUACCAACCUGAACAACAAUGUGGUGCAAGCUCUUUGUGAAGAAUUCAAAAUUGAGCAUCAUAACUCUUCUCCCUAUAGACCUCAGAUGAAUGGUGCAGUUGAGGCCGCCAACAAGAAUAUCAAGAGAAUUGUCCGGAAGAUGGUAACCACUUACAAGGACUAGCAUGAGAUGUUACCCUAUGCUCUGCACGGCUACCGUACUACCGUGCGCAGUUCAACCGGGGCAACCCCUUUCUCUCUUGUAUAUGGUAUGGAAGCAGUUCUUCCUUUGGAAGUGGAGAUCCCAUCUCUCCGUGUGAUAAUGGAAGCAAAGUUAUCUGAGGCUGAAUGGUGCCAAAACCGGUAUGAUCAGUUGAAUUUGAUUGAGGAAAAACGUAUGGAUGCCAUGGCUCGUGGACAGUCAUAUCAAGCAAGAAUGAAGACUGCUUUUGACAAGAAAGCCCAUCCUCGAGAAUUCAAGGUAGGGGAACUUGUAUUGAAAAGGAGGAUAAGCCAGCAACCCGACCCAAGGGGGAAGUGGACGCCUAACUAUGAAGGUCCUUAUGUUGUCAAGAAGGCCUUCUCCGGUGGUGCUUUAAUCCUUACACACAUGGAUGGUGUAGAACUUCCAAAUCCAGUGAAUGCCGAUAUAGUCAAGAAAUACUUUGCCUAGAAAUAUGAAAAGAACAGCGUGGUAGGUCGAAAACCCGAAAGGGCGGCCUAGGCAAAAAUGCGCUUCCCGGUGGAUCGAAAACCCGAAAGGGCGGUCCAGGCAAAAAUAAGGGACAAAAAAAUAUAUGAAAAGCUCGCUGAGAUUGUACACAACUCAGGCAAGAAUGAGCGUCUCGAUGAGCCGAAAACCCGGAAGGGCGGUUCAUGCAAAAAUGAGAUUGAAACAAAAGGCAAGUAACUAUAUCUGGCCAACCACCGUCCCCCUUGGGGCAUCUGCAGCUGUUAAUGACCAUCUUCAUCAAAAGCGAAUGCUUGCGAAUUCAAAGUUUCUAGGAAAUGUCAUGAUCACUGUGUUCAAUGUACCACCAACCAAUAAAAUUACCAUUUUCCAAGCUUUGUAAAUCCGUGGAGUCACACCUUCGGCUGACCACCCCUCUUAUACAUCAAAUUGAGCCUGUGCUUUUGUUUAAAACUCUAUUUUCUUCUACUUUCAAAGCUAUAUACAAAACAUUUUCCUUCUAUUUUGAUAAUGACAAUGCUUGAAACAAACAUUUUUUUUGAAAAUUGAAAACUUUUUGUCUAUUUUGAAAAGCAAACCUGAGCAACAGGGUACAUUCAAAUGAAACAUGCAUGAGCGAGAGUAUGUUGAUGUCUAUUUCAAUAUAUGUUACAAGCAGGUUCUCCUCCAGGAUAGUCUGUGGUCAAUGGCAAGAAUGAAAAAACAGAAUGAAAAUGCAUGAAAUUGAAUAGGCUCGCUAAGUUGAAAACCCGAAAGGGCGGCUUAGGCAAAAAUGAGCACCCUGCUGGAUUGACAACCCGAAAGGGCAGUUCAGGCAAAAAUGGGGCAUUGAAAAGAAUUUAUUUCCCCGGUGGGUCGAAAACCCGAAAGGGCGAUCCAGGCAAAAAUGGGAUGCAAAAAAUGAAUGAUGAAAGUUGAGAAAAUAACAUGCAAAAAGCAUUGACCACAGAUGCGACAUCCACGGUACAUCCGGCAUUAUUUCCAGUAGAGUCUCCCAAGAUUCUAUCCCCAGCAAGUUGCAUAGCUACCGGCCCUCAGCCUAGGUCCCGAAACGUCUCCCAACGACGUCAUCUCCAAAGAGGAUUUCCAAGAAUGUGUAAUAUAGCACGAGCCACUACGUGCCCAAUACUCUGAUGUCUUGUCUUCCCCGUGAUGUCGUGCCUACAAAAUGCCAACAGUCAUGCAUUACAAGCAUUCAUACAUGCAUAAUCAUGCAUAUUACGUGCCCAUGCAUUUAAUGAAACUGUUAUAUCAUCCGUGCAUAUUGCAUUUCCAAUGUCAACAUCAGUCUCAAUUCGAUACUCAUGUCAGGUUCUCUGUCAAAACCUUGUGAGCCAAUAAUAUCGGUCAAUUUCUGCCUUUCAAUUCAAAUCGACGUCAAGUCAAUCUCAAUCUAUAUUUUGUCAAAAAAAAACCAAUCCCCAGUGAAUAUGUUUCUGUUUGGUCAAGUGGCUAGUUCAAGUCCAAGAACAGCUUGUACCUAUCAAUUUGCUUAUGUUAUCGGUCGAGUGCCCAGCUCAAUCCAAGAGCAGCUUGUACCUGUCAAUAUGUUUCCGUUUGGUCAAGUGGCUAGCUCAAUCCAAGAGCAGCUUGUACUUGUCUAUCUGUUUCUGUCCGGUGGAGUAACCAGUUCGCAUCCAAGAACAAGCUCACACCUGUUUAUUUGCCUUUGCUUUCGGUCGAGUGACCAGUUCGAAUCCAAGAACAACUCGUACCUAUCUACUUUUCCAUGACCCCGGUCGAGUUACCAGUUCGAAUCCAAGAACAGCUCGUACCUGUCUAUGUGUCUAUGAUUUUGGGUCAAGUGGCUAGUUCAAGUCCAAGAACAGCUUGUACCCGUCUAUCUGUUUCUGUUCGCUCAAGUGGCUAGCUCGAUCCAAGAGCAGCUUGCGCCUGUCUAUUUUGUAUUUGUCUCCGGUGGAGUAACCAGUUCGCAUCCAAGAACAAGCUCGCACCUGUCUAUUUGCCUUGCUUUCAGUCGAGUAACCAGUUCGAAUCCUUAAGAACAACUCGUACCUGCCAAUUUUACAUGUUUUCAGUCGAGUCACCAGUUCGAAUCCAUAAGAACAACUCGUACUUGUCAAUUUUCUCUUUUUCCAGUCGAGUCACCAGUUCGAAUCCGUAAGAACAACUCGUACUUGCCAAUUUUCUCUUUUUCCCAGUCGGGUCACCAGUUCGAAUCCAUAAGAACAACUCGCACUUUCCAAUAUCCCCAAGUGAGUUACCAGUUCGAAUCCAUAAGAACAACUCAUGUUUGUCCAGUAACCUCUAUCCCCUGUGAAGUGACCAGUUCGAAUCCAUAAGAACAACUCGCAGUUGUCUGUUUGUUUCAUCCCCGGUCAAGUGGCUAGUUUGAAUCCAAGAACAGCUUGUACCUGUCCAACUUGUUUCUAGUUUCCCGUUACUCUGCUAUUCACUAUCUUUGUCAAUGUCUACCAAUCCCGCAAUGGAUACGACAUAUUUUGUUAAUUCCAAUCCCCAUGAGGUCUUGCAUUCAUAAUCCAAAUGAUGCAUGGCAUGCAUAUUAUUUGAAAUUGGGUAGGCGUAUUUUUACGUCCAAACACAGUGCAAAUGCUAAUAUUUAAGUAUCUUCGUCCUGUCAAGCCAAAGACUCCGUCUCUUGACUCUCCAGACAAAGAAACUUAAAUAGGGGCAGCUGUUAUACCCUGUUUUUGGACCUAAAAAUAUUGGGCCCAAUUUCAUUUCAAACUUUGUCAAUUAUCAAAUUUCAACUGCACAGUUCAAAUCGUCUCUGCCUCGCAGUAUUUUCAAUCACAAUUUUACCUAUGUUUUUCUUGCGUAAAACCUUUCGAAAUGUCUUUACUUGUCUUGUAAGUCAUUCAAAAGUGUCUCUGAAUCAUUAUAUUGCUUUUUCUACAGUUUAUUUCAAAAUUUGCAAAAAAGUCAUACAGAAGGGUAUUUUGGUCAUUUCCUGCAGUGGGACCCAUUUUCAUCCUUGUGACUGUCUCUGAGUCUUUUCAGAUUGAUUUUAACAUUUCAUCAGUAAACCUUGUUAAAUUCAUUUCAAACUUGAAUCUGAGUCAGUGACAGGUCAAUUUGAAUCUGUUUAGGUCGUUUUUAGCUCUAGGGGCAUUUUGGUCAUUUCACACAAAAUUUCGGCAUAGAGAGGUUACUUUGAAGUACCUCAUUUAAGUCAUUGGUUCGUUUUAGUCCGUUUUGUCAAUUUUAUUUUUUAUUUCGCUUUACGUUUGGUCAAAUUACGUUUUUUAUUCAAUUUUAUUUUUAAUUGCAUUUUGGUCCCUCAAUCGAGGUCCCAAAAUUGCAUUUUUUGUCCAAACAGUUUUUUAUUUUCAUUUCAGUCCUUACUUUCAUUUUUCAGUCCAGUCCAUAUAUUUUUCAAAAUUGCAAACAGGUCCUUCAAGAUUAAAGUUACAGGGCAGCCCUUUUUUUUUCAGUCCAAGGCCACAUGUCAGCUUUCUAUUGGUCCAAGAUCACACAUGUCAGCUAUAAAAACAACACAGUGUCAGAUUUUCAGGAUCAGAUACACAAUCAUUGAAAUCAUCACAAACAGAUUUUUUUUCUCUCUCCAUUCAGUUACAGAUCAAAACAAAAAGUUCUCCAAGAACAAGCAAGAACAACCAAAAACCCUAACUGUUUCCAGAACCGGAUUCAGCAACAAAUUCACCAAUUCUCAGAGAUUCACUGAUGAAUCUUCAUCAUUGAAUUGAUCCCCCUGCAAUUCAAGGUACGAAUUCCUCACCGGAGGCGAGGAACUCCAGCACCGAUCACAGAGAAGAGAAAAAACGUGAGGAAACGGAAAGCCAGAACCGAAUCGCAAAACACAAAGCCGGAAACGCAAAGCUAGAACCGGAAAGCCAGAAACACAAAGCCGGAAACGCAAAGCUAGAACCGGAAAGUCAGAAACACAAAGCCGGAAACGCAAAACGUGAAGAACCGCAAAGCCAGAAUCGCAAAGCACAGCGGAAAGGUAAUCCUCUUCACUUUCCCCUUCCUUUUUUCUUCCUUUUUUUUAAAAAAAAA
rnacentral:lncRNA from 1 species